ACGAACGCUGGCGGCGUGCCUAACACAUGCAAGUCGAGCGAGAAAGUCCCUUCGGGGCGAGUAAAGCGGCGGACGGGUGAGUAAUACAUGGAUAAUCUUCCCUCGAGCCUGGGAUAACCCUGCGAAAGUGGGGCUAAUACCGGAUAAGACCACAUGACACAUGUCACGGGGUAGAAGGUGGCUUGUAUUUAUAUGAGCUAUCACUUGAGGAUGAGUCCAUGGCCUAUCAGCUAGUUGGUGAGGUAAGAGCUUACCAAGGCUAUGACGGGUAGCUGGUCUGAGAGGACGACUAGCCACACUGGGACUGAGACACGGCCCAGACUCCUACGGGAGGCAGCAGUGGGGAUAUUGGGCAAUGGGCGAAAGCCUGACCCAGCGACGCCGCGUGGGUGAUGAAGGCCUUCGGGUUGUAAAACCCUUUCGUGCGGAAAGAAUAGUCUCGUAGCGAAUAACUACGGGAUUUGACGGUACCGCAGGAAGAAGCACCGGCUAACUCCGUG
rnacentral:rRNA from 1 species